GUACACGCUGUGACUAGCAUAUCAAUAAGCGGAGGAAAAGAAACUAACAAGGAUUCCCCUAGUAACGGCGAGUGAAGCGGGAAGAGCUCAAAUUUGAAAUCUUAAAGGGUUUCCCUUUACGAAUUGUAGUUUAAAGAAGUGUUUUCUGUUGAGGUUUUGGUAAAAGUUCUUUGGAAUAGGACAUCAUAGAGGGUGAGAAUCCCGUAUUUGACCUUUACUUUCAACUUUGUGAUACACUCUCAAAGAGUCGGAUUGUUUGGGAAUGCAGUCCAAAAUGGGUGGUAAAUUUCAUCUAAAGCUAAAUAUUGGCGAGAGACCGAUAGCGAACAAGUACCGUGAGGGAAAGAUGAAAAGAACUUUGAAAAGAGAGUUAAACAGUACGUGAAAAUUGUCAAAAGGGAAGCGUUUGACACCAGUGUUGUUUUUCUGAAAAUCAAUUAAAGAACUGUUUAUGCUAAGUUGUUUAGACUUUAUCAGCUAUCUGUUUAGUUUUGAGCUUUUCUUUAAUGCACUUUUCAGUUAACAAGUCAACAUCAAUUUCUUUUGCUGUAAAAAAGCUUGAGGAAGGUGGCUUGAGAUUCGUCUUAAGUGUUUAUAGCCUCUUGCCUAUGCAGUCGGAGAGAUUGAGGUCUGCAGCGUAGAUCCUUCGGGGCUAAAUGCAUUUGUGCUAAGUUAUAGCAUUUCAUAGACAACUUGUUGACUAUGAUUUGUCUUGUAGCUUACUCGCUUAUGUUAUUUUACCUACGCUUAGGAUGUUGACGCGCGUGUGUGCGUG
rnacentral:rRNA from 1 species